GUUUUUUAACCUUUCCCUCCAGAGUUUUACAUUCUCGCUCUACUCAAGGGUUUCCACACAUUUCCAAACUCACAUUCUCGUUUUUGUUCAGAAUGCUCUGUCAAACUCGAUUUGGAUUCAUCAAAUCAGCAUUCAUCUUCUCAUCUCCGUCCAAGGUUUUACACUCACUCUCCUAAAGUUUUUUCUAAAUUUCCAAACACUAGCAUUUUCAUUUUUGUUCAGAAAGGUCCCUCAUCAAAUUGGCGUUCUGAAAGCUCAUUCUCCAAGUUAGAUUUGGAUCCAUCAAACCGGCGUUCAUCUUCGUCCUCGCUCGUCCGCUAGUGUUCGUCGUCUCCGUUAUCGCCCAUCGGCCAGUGGUCGUUGAUCAGUGCUCGUUGGCCGUUGCUCAUCUCUCAGUGAUCGUCUCUUAGGACUCAUGGAUGAGUUUCCCAUACCACAAAGAGAAAAUCCAAAAUCAAUUCAGUUCAUACCUUCAUAGGGGUUUGCUAACGGGAUGUUUGCUCUAGUCCUUUCAUUUGGCCUUCUCCUCACUGCAUUAAGAAGCAGAAAGGCUAGGUCAUGGCACUAUGGUAGUGAAACAUAUAAUCUGUUACAGUAGCAGACUAUUUAUCUCUUUCUUUUUGGGAUGAGAUUGGGGAGAGUAACAAUGAUAGAGACAACAUGCUUCUUCAACUGGAGCAAGAAUGCCUGGACAUUUAUCACAAGAGAGUUGAGGAGACGAGGAAGCACAAGGCUGACAUGUAUCAAUGGUUGGCAGAUGCUGAAGCUCAAGCAACUAAUAUUGUUUCUUCCAUUGGGGAAUCUACGGUACUCCCACGGAAACAGUCACCAGAUUUGAAGAAACACAAGUGCAUCAGGGUAGAUUUCUCUCCUAAGGGUUAAAAGAGUGAGCGAGUAUCUCAAUGCUUCCUAAACUAAAUUCCACCUUUAUUCCUACUUUUGCUUUGUUUGAUGCUCCUCAUAAUUGUAGAUAACAUGUGGAAUGAUGGCUUCUCAAUUUUAGGCUUUUCUUGAUGCUACUGAGUGUCUCUAUAAAACACAAAAGCUUGCUGGCAAACCUGCUGGAAUUAUCUCCAACACUCGAUACCAAGGUGGUCAAGAAGAGACUACAAUGUAAUAACACCCUCUUUCUGAUUGUAAUUUCUUGUAAUUCCCAAUUCAUUGAUUUGAAUGAAAGAGUUUAUUUUCUUAAAUUUUCAGUACAUUAUUUACUGA